AAUGCGGUAUGCAAUGCCCAAUGCACGUAUUAUGAUACAUCAACCUCAGGGUGGAUGUGGGGGUCAUGUGGAGGAUGUGAGACGCCAAGUAAAUGAAGCUGUUCAAUCUCGCCACGUUAGUUUCCUUUUCACUUAGUCUAAUUAUAACAACCUGGUUGACUUACCUCCAAGCUGAAAGCAACUAUUGAAUUAUUUCUCAAUGCUUCUUAAUCUGGUUGAAACAGUUGAAACCAAGACUAUUUUGAGUUUACUUUAAGCUUUUGAGCUCAAUAUGCCUGUUCAUGAAACUGAAAUUCUGAUUCAUAAUACAUUGAAAGAGACCAUUCAUAUAUCAUUUGCUCUGCAGGAAUUAAAGGUCCGUGUGGUAACAAAGUAAUUUACUACCAUAACAGAAAUCAUUCUUCUCACCAUCUUUACAGUAGAGGUAGAUUGGUGUGUCCAGUCUAUCUUUCAAAAAGUGGCAUUUCAAGUUGAACUAGACUGCCUUUUCCUUUUCCCAUCCUAUUUGGUAGUAUCAAUUAUUGACACUCCUACCUUGUUCUGGAGUCAUUUGAGAUUAAAAUGAGUCUCCAUCCUGCUUGCUGACUAUUUUCAUUUCUCAUAACAUCUAUUGAUGUGUGCUUUGCUCAUAUUUUCUUAGCACUUUGGUGCAGAAAAUUGACAGAAUGUAUGCUGC
rnacentral:misc_RNA from 1 species